CAGUAGCCGCGGUAAUACGUAGGGGGCAAGCGUUAUCCGGAUUUACUGGGUGUAAAGGGAGCGCAGACGGCAGUGCAAGUCUGGAGUGAAAGGCGUGGGCUCAACCCAUGAACUGCUUUGGAAACUGUAUAGCUUGAGUGUCGGAGGGGUAAGCGGAAUUCCUAGUGUAGCGGUGAAAUGCGUAGAUAUUAGGAGGAACACCGGAGGCGAAGGCGGCUUACUGGACGACAACUGACGUUGAGGCUCGAAGGCGUGGGGAGCAAACAGGAUUAGAUACCCGCGUAGUCCCUGUCUCUUAUAC
rnacentral:rRNA from 1 species